rnacentral:rRNA from 1 species
CCUACGGGAGGCAGCAGUAGGGAAUAUUGGGCAAUGGGCGCAAGCCUGACCCAGCAACGCCGCGUGAAGGAAGAAGGCUUUCGGGUUGUAAACUUCUUUUCUCAGGGACGAAGAAAGUGACGGUACCUGAGGAAUAAGCCACGGCUAACUACGUGCCAGCAGCCGCGGUAAUACGGAGGUGGCAAGCGUUACUCGGAUUUAUUGGGUGUAAAGAGCGUGUAGGCGGGAGCGCAAGUCAGAUGUGAAAACUCAGGGCUCAACCCUGAGCCUGCAUUUGAAACUGUGUUUCUUGAGUGCUGGAGAGGCAAUCGGAAUUCUGGGUGUAGCGGUGAAAUGCGUAGAGAUCCGGAGGAAUACUAGUGGCGAAGGCGGAUUGCUGGACAGUAACUGACGCUGAGGCGCGAAAGCGUGGGGAGCAAACAGGAUUAGAUACCCCAGUAGUC